GACGAACGCUGGCGGCGUGCUUAACACAUGCAAGUCGAACGAAGCUUGAUUACGUAUUCUUCGUAUGAAGUAUGAUAUGACUGAGUUGCGGACGGGGUAGUAACGCUUGAGUAACCUGCCCUUCAGAGGGGGAUAGCGUUUGGACACGAACGGUAAUACCGCAUAAUGUAUUUUGACGGCAUGAUCGAAAUACCAAAGAUUUAUCGCUGAAGGAUGGACUCGCGUCUGAUUUGGUGGUUGGCGGGGUAACUGCCUACCAAGCCGACGAUCAGUAGCCGGACUGAGAGGUUGGUCGGCUAGAUAGGGACUGAGAGACGGCACAGAUUCCUACGGGAGGAAGCAGUGAGGAAGAUUGAACAGUGGGAGCAAGAUUGAUCAAGCAACGGUGCGUGAAGAAAGACGGUUUUCGGAAUGCAACCUUCUGUUGUUAGUGAAGAAUAAUGACGGUAGCUAAGGAGCAAGCCACGGCUAACUACGUG
rnacentral:rRNA from 1 species